rfam:Xiphophorus maculatus strain JP 163 A Contig218.14, whole genome shotgun sequence.
UGGUUUUUUUAGGUUUUGAUUUUUGUAGCGUUGGAUGAGAAAAUCAAAACCUAAAGAAAAUA